GACAGCCAGGAUGUUGGCUUAGAAGCAGCCAUCAUUUAAAGAAAGCGUAAUAGCUCACUGGUCGAGUCGGCCUGCGCGGAAGAUGUAACGGGGCUAAACCAUGCACCGAAGCUGCGGCAGCGACACUAUGUGUUGUUGGGUAGGGGAGCGUUCUGUAAGCCUGCGAAGGUGUGCUGUGAGGCAUGCUGGAGGUAUCAGAAGUGCGAAUGCUGACAUAAGUAACGAUAAAGCGGGUGAAAAGCCCGCUCGCCGGAA
rnacentral:rRNA from 1 species